ensembl:snoRNA SNORD116 Small nucleolar RNA SNORD116
GAAUCGAUGAUGACACCCUCAAAGCAUUCCUUGGAAGCUGAACAAAAUGAGUGAGAACUCUAUACCGUCUCAUCUCAUCGAGCUGAGGUCC